CUAAGCCUACGGGGGGCAGCAGUGGGGAAUAUUGCGCAAUGGGGGAAACCCUGACGCAGCAACGCCGCGUGCAGGAAGAAGGUCUUCGGAUUGUAAACUGUUGUCGAAGGGGAAAAAGAGCGGAGAGAGGAAAUGGUCUCCGAUUGAUAUUACCCUUCGAGGAAGUCACGGCUAACUACGUGCCAGCAGCCGCGGUAAUACGUAGGUGGCGAGCGUUAUCCGGAAUGAUUGGGCGUAAAGGGUGCGUAGGCGGUCUGCUAAGUCUGGAGUGAA
rnacentral:rRNA from 1 species